rnacentral:rRNA from 1 species
UUGGAGGGCAAGUCUGGUGCCAGCAGCCGCGGUAAUUCCAGCUCCAAUAGCGUAUAUUAAAGUUGUUGCAGUUAAAAAGCUCGUAGUUGAAUUUCGGGAUUGACGUGAUGCCAUGCCUUAAGGGGUAUGAACUGUCGCAGUUGAUUUCUCACCUUCUGGAGAAACUUGAUGUCCUUUAUUGGGUGUCUUGCGGAUCCAGGACCUUUACCUUGAAAAAAUUAGAGUGUUUAAAGCAGGCAUUUUUGCUCGAAUACAUUAGCAUGGAAUAAUAGAAUAGGACGGCAUGGUUCUAUUUUGUUGGUUUCUAGGAUCACCGUAAUGAUUAAUAGGGAUAGUUGGGGGCAUUAGUAUUCAAUUGUCAGAGGUGAAAUUCUUGGAUUUAUUGAAGACUAACUACUGCGAGAGCAUUUGCCAAGGAUGUUUUCAUUAAUCAAGAACGAAAGUUAGGGGAUCGAAGACGAUCAGAUACCGUCGUAGUCUUAACCAUAAACUAUGCCGACUAGGAAUCAGACGAUGUUAAUUUUUUAAUGACUCGUUUGGCACCUUACGGGAAACCAAAGUGUUUGGGUUC